GACGAACGCUGGCGGCGUGCUUAACACAUGCAAGUCGAACGGAAAGGCCCUGCUUUUGUGGGGUGCUCGAGUGGCGAACGGGUGAGUAACACGUGAGUAACCUGCCCUUGACUUUGGGAUAACUUCAGGAAACUGGGGCUAAUACCGGAUAGGAGCUCCUGCUGCAUGGUGGGGGUUGGAACGUUUCGGCGGUUGGGGAUGGACUCGCGGCUUAUCAGCUUGUUGGUGGGGUAGUGGCUUACCAAGGCUUUGACGGGUAGCCGGCCUGAGAGGGUGACCGGCCACAUUGGGACUGAGAUACGGCCCAGACUCGUACGGGAGGCAGCAGUGGGGAAUAUUGCACAAUGGGCGGAAGCCUGAUGCAGCAACGCCGCGUGCGGAAUGACGGCCUUCGGGUUGUAAACCGCUUUCGCCUGUGACGAAGCGUGAGUGACGGUAAUGGGUAAAGAAGCACCGGCUAACUACGUG
rnacentral:rRNA from 1 species